rnacentral:rRNA from 1 species
UACAGAGGGGGCAAGCGUUGUUCGGAUUUACUGGGCGUAAAGCGCACGUAGGCGGAUUCUUAAGUCAGGGGUGAAAUCCCGAGGCUCAACCUCGGAACUGCCUUUGAUACUGGGGAUCUCGAGUUCGGGAGAGGUGAGUGGAAUUGCGAGUGUAGAGGUGAAAUUCGUAGAUAUUCGCAAGAACACCAGUGGCGAAGGCGGCUCACUGGCCCGAUACUGACGCUGAGGUGCGAAAGCGUGGGGAGCAAACAGG